rnacentral:rRNA from 1 species
UCAAGUGACCAAGGGAAACCGAUAAGUAAUCCACCUGGGGAGUACGCCGGCAACGGUGAAACUCAAAGGGAUUUGACGGGGGUCCGCACAACCGUUGGAGCAUGUGGUUUAAUUCGAUGAUACGCGAGGAACCUUACCUAGGCUAGAAUGUGAGCGAAUGAUUCAGAGAUGGAUCAGUCAGCAAUGACGCGAAACAAGGUGCUGCAUGGCCGUCGUCAGUUCGUGCCGUGAGGUGUUGGGUUAAGUCCCGCAACGAACGCAACCCCUAUAAUCUGUUGCCAGCAUGUCAUGAUGGGGACUCAGGUUAGACUGCCUACGCAAGUAGAGAGGAAGGAGGGGACGACGCCAGGUCAUCAUGGCCCUUACGCCUAGGGCGACACACGUGCUACAAUGGUAGGUACAGAGUGCAGCGAGCUAGUAAUAGUAAGCGAAUCACAAAAAGCCUAUCACAGUUCGGAUUGGGGUCUGCAACUCGACCCUAUGAAGCUGGAAUCGCUAGUAAUCGCAUAUCAGCCAUGAUGCGGUGAAUACGUUCCCGGACCUUGUACACACCGCCCGUCAAGCCAUG